rnacentral:rRNA from 1 species
UGGGGAAUAUUGCACAAUGGGGGGAACCCUGAUGCAGCCAUGCCGCGUGUGUGAAGAAGGCCUUCGGGUUGUAAAGCACUUUCAGUUGUGAGGAAAAGUUAGUAGUUAAUACCUGCUAGCCGUGACGUUAACAACAGAAGAAGCACCGGCUAACUCCGUGC